AGAGUUUGAUCAUGGCUCAGAUUGAACGCUGGCGGCAUGCCUUACACAUGCAAGUCGAACGGUAACAGGUUAAGCUGACGAGUGGCGAACGGGUGAGUAAUAUAUCGGAACGUGCCCAGUCGUGGGGGAUAACGCAGCGAAAGCUGUGCUAAUACCGCAUACGAUCUCUGGAUGAAAGCGGGGGAUCGCAAGACCUCGCGCGAUUGGAGCGGCCGAUAUCAGAUUAGCUAGUUGGUGGGGUAAAAGCCCACCAAGGCGACGAUCUGUAGCUGGUCUGAGAGGACGACCAGCCACACUGGAACUGAGACACGGUCCAGACUCCUACGGGAGGCAGCAGUGGGGAAUUUUGGACAAUGGGCGCAAGCCUGAUCCAGCAAUGCCGCGUGCAGGAUGAAGGCCUUCGGGUUGUAAACUGCUUUUGUACGGAACGAAACGGUCUGCCCUAAUACGGUGGGCUAAUGACGGUACCGUAAGAAUAAGCACCGGCUAACUACGUGCCAGCAGCCGCGGUAAUACGUAGGGUGCGAGCGUUAAUCGGAAUUACUGGGCGUAAAGCGUGCGCAGGCGGUUAUGUAAGACAGAUGUGAAAUCCCCGGGCUCAACCUGGGACCUGCAUUUGUGACUGCAUAGCUAGAGUACGGUAGAGGGGGAUGGAAUUCCGCGUGUAGCAGUGAAAUGCGUAGAUAUGCGGAGGAACACCGAUGGCGAAGGCAAUCCCCUGGACCUGUACUGACGCUCAUGCACGAAAGCGUGGGGAGCAAACAGGAUUAGAUACCCUAGUAGUCC
rnacentral:rRNA from 1 species